CGUGCUAUACAUGCAAGUCGAGCGAAUGGAUUAAGAGCUUGCUCUUAUGAAGUUAGCGGCGGACGGGUGAGUAACACGUGGGUAACCUGCCCAUAAGACUGGGAUAACUCCGGGAAACCGGGGCUAAUACCGGAUAACAUUUUGAACCGCAUGGUUCGAAAUUGAAAGGCGGCUUCGGCUGUCACUUAUGGAUGGACCCGCGUCGCAUUAGCUAGUUGGUGAGGUAACGGCUCACCAAGGCAACGAUGCGUAGCCGACCUGAGAGGGUGAUCGGCCACACUGGGACUGAGACACGGCCCAGACUCCUACGGGAGGCAGCAGUAGGGAAUCUUCCGCAAUGGACGAAAGUCUGACGGAGCAACGCCGCGUGAGUGAUGAAGGCUUUCGGGUCGUAAAACUCUGUUGUUAGGGAAGAACAAGUGCUAGUUGAAUAAGCUGGCACCUUGACGGUACCUAACCAGAAAGCCACGGCUAACUACGUGCCAGCAGCCGCGGUAAUACGUAGGUGGCAAGCGUUAUCCGGAAUUAUUGGGCGUAAAGCGCGCGCAGGUGGUUUCUUAAGUCUGAUGUGAAAGCCCACGGCUCAACCG
rnacentral:rRNA from 1 species